CAAAAGAUAUCUGUGAAGUUUUAACGGCAGAAUAGGAUUGAUAAGUUAAUAUGGCUGGCUCUUGUAUUCUUUUCAGCCUUGCCUUAAUCCGGUGCUUCUCAAACAUGUAUUUCUGUUCCCUGAAUCUCAUUCCUCCCAUGGAGACAAAAUAAAUACCUUCCCUGGGCAGAGAGAACCCUUUGAGUCUCUGUAUUCUCAGUUAUCUGAUCCCAGGCUGGGGAGAAAGGACAGAGGUCCGGGGUUAGGAUGAGAUAGGAGGUGGGGACUGAAGGGUGACAGUAGUCUCUCCUAGCGCUUACAGUGUUCAGAGGAAACUCCUUACCCAGAGUCUAGCCCUCAUGUCUCAUUUUUGCAUUUCGAGUAGUCCGAGGGCUUAGAUUCUGAGUUCUUUUCUCAGUUUGAACCAAUUUAUCUUCUUUUUUUCUUUCUUUUUUUUUUUUAAAAGAGUUUCUCUGUCGCCCAGUCUGGAGUGCAGUGCAGCAAUCAUAGCUCACUAUAACCUCGAACUCCUGGACUCAAGUGAUCCUCCCGCCUCAGCCUCCUGAGUAGCUGGGACUACAGGCAUACACCACCAUGUUUGGCUAAUUUUAAACAUUUCUGUAGAGACAGGGUCUCACUGUUUCCCAGGCUGGUCUUGAACUCCUGGCCUCAAGCGAUCCUCCUGCCUCGGCCUCCCACAGUGCUGGAAUUGCAAGUGUGAGCCAUCAUGUACAGCCUGAACCAAUCUUUCUUCUGUUCUCAGCUUGAGAUCUUCUUAGCCCAGACUAAGCUGGACCUGCUACUGGAGAAGACCAAGGAGCUGCAGAAGCUGGUGAGAUGGGAAAGGGAGGCCUGCCAGUGGGAGGACUCCCAGUCUGUGCAAAAUGAGGCCCUGAGCACCCCUGCUUCUGCCCACUUGGUAUCACUCUUUCAGAUUGAAGCUGACAUCUCCAAGAGGUACGGCGGGCGCCCUGUGAACCUGAUGGGAACCUCUCUGUGACACCCUCCGUGUUCUUGCCUGCCCAUCUUCUCCGCUUUUGGGAUGAAGAUGAUAGCCAGGGCUGUUGUUUUGGGGCCCU
rnacentral:lncRNA from 1 species